GCUCUUUGGAGUCUUUUUUAAUUAGAGUACUUGGAGACCUAAUCUACAACCAUUAGAUUAAAACAGAGAUCAACGGCAGAUUUGGGGGACAGCUGUCACUUUUUUUUUGAAUGAGAAACUGCUAGAUAGAUACGUUUUCGUACAAGACCGUAUAAACUGCAUGUAUCCAAAAUCGUAGGACCAUGUAAAUCGGCAUUCUAGUGACAGUUACCAAUCAAGUGUUCCCCUAAACUCAGUCCCCCAAAUCAAAACCAUAGACACGGCUGAGAAGCAAGCGUGAGGAGGACAACGGGAUCCUUUUGAUAAGUGUUUACACAUCAGAGAUUGUUUCGAAAACGAGAAAUGAGUUCAGGUCAGUGUAUUUCAAAUUGAGUUGGAAAGUAGUUUACUGCUAAUCUUUCGUGUAUUUUACGAUUAUUAUGCUUUAAUUUUGCUUAGAUUGUACUUGCAAGUCAUUAUACAGUGUGAACAUGGUGAGAUUUCUGUAAUAGUAGACAAUGGUAUGGUCGAUUUGUUUGUGGGUAAUGUUUGUUUAAUUGUUCAUUGUCACUUUGUUAAUCGUUUCUCGGCUUGAUGCGGGGGACGGAGUAAUUGGAUUAGUCUAUGAUACUAGUGUCAAUUCAAGUAAUAGAUUCCUCACUUGGUAGGUAUGUGUAUGAAAUUAGAAAAUGAAUGAAUUUAAGCACUAUAGUACCCCUUAGUCUGCUGAUUGGGGUUUAUCUGAAAAUUGGUGAGGAACCUGUUUUUGGUAAAUAUAUGUUUUGUGUUGAUUGUGGGUUAUCUUUAUUUAGUUUGAAUUUCCUGCCAAGUUUAGCAAGACUAGAUGAGACCGUGCGUUUGUUUAAUUGUUUGUGCUGAUUGGGCUUGCAUUGUUCUCGAGGUCUUGCAAAUUGGUGGGGAACAACAGCCAUGAGCUCAGGUUUUUUUACACAAUGCACUUUGAUAUGUAUAUCUGGACCUGCAUAUGUAAUCCAAUUGUGUUGUAGAGUUUCGAUUGUCUCUUUGUUUUCAUUCUGAAUUGUUCCUUGCUUACUUCUUUCAUGUCUAUUCUAUUGAUGAUACAGUGGCCUGUGAAUGUCUAUUCGAAUUCUUAAAAGUGGCGAGCAUUCUUUUGCUUGUUUGUUUACUAAAAUUUCAUAAAACCUUUUGGAAGAUAGAAAUGAGUUAUUGUUCGUUAAAUGAUGAUGCAUGCCUAAAAUCCGGUUAUUAAUUUGGUUGUAGAGAGGUCCAGUAAAACAAGGUCCAGUAAAAUGUAAUUGGUUAUAAGGAUUAACAAAAAAACUCAUUCUUGCUUAUUUGAAUCUGAAUGACUAAAAUGAAUUUUUUAAAGUCUUUAAUUUAUAACUUGUUUCAUUUACCUAUUUGUAGAACGACGGAGAAGCGCAAGACUCAUCGAGAGUCCUUGGGUCUACAACUGGCCCAAACAGGCUCCAAUUUAUGUUAAUUUAGUUGAUGAGGAGGAGGAAUCAUUUGCUGGACAACAUAAUUCAAUAAACCAGGCGCUGGAUCCGGUAAACAAAACUUGAAGUGGAGUAGGAAAUAAAAGUUGGACGACCCUUGAAAGUUUGGAUUUGAGAACGGAGGGGGUGAUGGGGAAAACAAGACAAGAUGAGGUUUUUAGUGGCGAGGAACACGACUUUGUUGCCCCUGCUGAACAAUUUGGGAAGAGCAAAUACUCUAGAUUGCAGACUCAUGAACCGGAAGAUAUGAAGAAGAUGGUUACAUUUGGUGCUUGUCAGAAAGCUGAUAAGAUAAUUGAGAAAAGAACUAGACAAGCAGAGGUACAUGAAAAUUAACAUUAAAAUAUUAUUUUAUGCCUUGCCUGUUUUUUUCAGAACUAUUAAUCAAACUUUAAAACUGUAGUCGUGCAGGGAACAAUGAAAUCUAAUAUGGAUGCUGCAAUUGAUGAGGGUAGUCAAAGAGGAUCAGGACACAAAGUUAUUGCUAAAAAGGGGAUAAAGCUCAGUAUAGGUGGUGUUGGGAACUUUGCAAUAUUAAGAUAUCCGUUUAAACGGACGGAAGGGGGUAAAAUCUAUCCACCUGCUAAAAAUCCCAAAAUACAAAAGGUUAGAUCGAACGAUGGAUAUAUACAAAAGAAGUUCUCUCCUUAAAUAAUGACUCUUUUAUCUUGUUUAUUUGUCUUGAAAACACAUUUCUCAGGACUGGUAAAUUUAUUUCCUAUUGUUUAUUUGUCCCUCUUGACUUACUUUGUGUAAGAUGCCUUUGCAGGACAACCAGAAGGCAGUGCUGAACAAGCUAUGAAUCUUCUAUGCACAUAAAAGAGUCAAUCUAUAAACAGUAAGAAGAAGACGGUGACUAGCGGAGCAACAUACCUGGCCAAGGGGAAGAAAGUUGUUGGAUAGUCAAUCAUAAAAAAUUCACAUAUAAUGUAGGCAAGCAAGUAAUUUGCAAACUGAUUCCUUGAGAUGUUUAAAGGAUCUUAUGAAAGUGUGUUUGGUUUGAUUUGUCACGAAAAACAUAAUGACCUGAAGAAUCUCUUUUUUUAUAAAAAAUUGCAUUUGUAUUUAAAAAUGUUGAAAGC
rnacentral:lncRNA from 1 species